UGAGGAAUAUUGGUCAAUGGGCGCAAGCCUGAACCAGCCAUCCCGCGUGCAGGAUGACGGCCCUAUGGGUUGUAAACUGCUUUUGUACAGGAAGAAAAAUCCCUACGAGUAGGGGCCUACCGGUACUGUACGAAUAAGCAUCGGCUAACUCCGUGCCAGCAGCCGCGGUAAUACGGAGGAUGCAAGCGUUAUCCGGAUUCAUUGGGUUUAAAGGGUGCGUAGGCGGCUUUUUAAGUCAGUGGUGAAAUCCUGCCGCUUAACGGUAGAAUUGCCAUUGAUACUGAGAAGCUUGAGUUCAGUUGAGGUAAGCGGAAUGUGUAGUGUAGCGGUGAAAUGCUUAGAUAUUACACAGAACACCGAUUGCGAAGGCAGCUUACUAAACUGUUACUGACGCUGAUGCACGAAAGCGUGGGGAUCGAACA
rnacentral:rRNA from 1 species